GACACUAUGGCCGAGUGGUUAAGGCGACAGAUUCGAAUUUCUUGAACAUCUGUUUCCCUCUGGGAGCGCAGGUUCAAAUCCUGCUGGUGUCG